AGAGUUUGAUCAUGGCUCAGAGCGAACGCUGGCGGCAGGCUUAACACAUGCAAGUCGAGCGGGCGUAGCAAUACGUCAGCGGCAGACGGGUGAGUAACGCGUGGGAACGUACCUUUUGGUUCGGAACAACACAGGGAAACUUGUGCUAAUACCGGAUAAGCCCUUACGGGGAAAGAUUUAUCGCCGAAAGAUCGGCCCGCGUCUGAUUAGCUAGUUGGUGAGGUAAUGGCUCACCAAGGCGACGAUCAGUAGCUGGUCUGAGAGGAUGAUCAGCCACAUUGGGACUGAGACACGGCCCAAACUCCUACGGGAGGCAGCAGUGGGGAAUAUUGGACAAUGGGCGCAAGCCUGAUCCAGCCAUGCCGCGUGAGUGAUGAAGGCCCUAGGGUUGUAAAGCUCUUUUGUGCGGGAAGAUAAUGACGGUACCGCAAGAAUAAGCCCCGGCUAACUUCGUGCCAGCAGCCGCGGUAAUACGAAGGGGGCUAGCGUUGCUCGGAAUCACUGGGCGUAAAGGGUGCGUAGGCGGGUCUUUAAGUCAGGGGUGAAAUCCUGGAGCUCAACUCCAGAACUGCCUUUGAUACUGAGGAUCUUGAGUUCGGGAGAGGUGAGUGGAACUGCGAGUGUAGAGGUGAAAUUCGUAGAUAUUCGCAAGAACACCAGUGGCGAAGGCGGCUCACUGGCCCGAUACUGACGCUGAGGCACGAAAGCGUGGGGAGCAAACAGGAUUAGAUACCCCCGUAGUCC
rnacentral:rRNA from 1 species